rnacentral:rRNA from 1 species
UACGAAGGGGGCUAGCGUUGCUCGGAAUUACUGGGCGUAAAGCGCACGUAGGCGGCUUUCUAAGUCGGGGGUGAAAUCCUGGAGCUCAACUCCAGAACUGCCUUCGAUACUGGAGAGCUCGAGUCCGGGAGAGGUGAGUGGAACUGCGAGUGUAGAGGUGAAAUUCGUAGAUAUUCGCAAAAACACCAGUGGCGAAGGCGGCUCACUGGCCCGGUACUGACGCUGAGGUGCGAAAGCGUGGGGAGCAAACAGG